rnacentral:lncRNA from 1 species
ACUGAGUUUACCUUCUUCCAUAGCCCUGUCUCCACGUUUGGAGGUCACGAUGGCUCCUGUAGCCAAGCUACUUGGCGGCUCACCCAGUAAGUUGUUGCAACUGAACUUGGGGUCAUUUUAAGGUCUGUUCAAGGAUGGCGGGUAUCUCACAAGCGACGAGAGAGUCAAAAAGACAAGCCGAUUCCAGGUAGUCCCCCUUCAAUCUCCCCAUUUGUGAAGUAUGUCCUCUCAUUGUGUGUUGGGAGAAGACACCAAUCCACGCUAAAAACUGUUAGCCAGACUGACUGCAAAGGGUUACAGGGUGUGUAAAGAGCCUUUUGACAGCCCAAAUGAAGAAAAAGAGGAUUGCGUUUGCCUAGGGCACACUGAGAUGGAGUCUGAAUGACUGGAAAAGUAUUGUCUGGUCAGAUAAAAGCUUCUUUCAAAUCAUUGGCUAUAAAAAUUCGCAAAAGGAUCGUGUAUCGGGCAAGAAAAAAAAUGAUGUUCAGUACGUGCCAAUUGUGAAGCACCCUCUAAAAAUUAUGUAUUGGGGAGCUUUUGGGGCUCUGGGACUGAGUAAUAUUCAUGCUUGUAAGUGGUCAGGAAAAAAAUUGCGAUCAGAAGUUCACUGCAAUAGUUCGCUAUAUAACGAUCAGGGUCAUUUUUGAUCAGCGGUCCGAUCAAUUUAUUUGCCAUCAUAUUCAAAUAUACAAUUUAUUCGAACCUAUAAAUAAACAUUUUAUAUAUAUACAUACCUUUUUAUCUUAAAUAAACGAUUGAUACACCUUU